CGCUAUUCAGUCCAAGAACGUCCGUUACUGAGGAUCAUCAUGAUUUCGCGAGGCAAACUUAGGGUUUUCUACGCGCUUUUUAUCAUUACUGCCUUAAUCUCAGCUGCCUGCGUUGAAUCUGCAAGUGUUGGCGACGUUGAGACGGGCAUGGAUCGGUACCAAAGGGGUUGGUGGAGCAAAAUGUGGAGCGGAGCGAAAAAAGCUGCAAGAGUCGUUGUUCGUGUUGCUGACGCUGACGCUGACGCUGGACAAGAAGAGGAAGAAGGAGAAGAAAAGCAAGAAUAAGAGCAAACAUUUUGGGUCCUAGCAACCACAUCUUUGGAAGUUAAAUAAUCGCAACAAGUCGUUUCAUUUUGGAUUAUUUGAAUUAAUAACAAUAAUAAACGCAAUUGUGCGUGCAAAACUAUUACUACUAUCGUCCAUACCAAUUCUUAUAACUCUUUCCUGUUUCUCUUGAACAAAUUAUAUUCGUUGAACUUAUUAAAAUAUGAUACUUUUCACGCCGUUCUGCUCAAAAUGUACAUUUACAAAUAUCUUGGGUUGUAUAUCAUAUAAUUUAAUGUUUUUAUACGAAUGUAUAAUUUCAAUGUGAAAUAAUAAUAAAUUUUAUCGAACAAAU